UAGGGCUGGAAAGGACCUUAAGAUCACCCAGUUCCAACCCCCUGCCAGGGGCAGGGACACCUCACACUAGACCAGGUCCAACCUGGCCUUGAACACUGCCAGGGAUGGAGCGUUCACCACUUCUCUGGGCACCGUGCGCCAGCGCCUCAGCACCCUCACCCAUCAGCAAUCCUCAGCGUAACAGGAAAGAUGGUGAAAAGACAUCCCCUUCUGGGGCCACUGAGAAAGCUCAGAUAAAGUACCGGGGACUCCUUUAGCCUGACUUCCAACUCCACUGCUUAGGAAUGCCAGGCAAGCACAGAAACCGCCUCUGCCCCAUGGCUGCAUGCAGCAGACAAAUUAUUAAUGGCAAAAGAAGAAGUGCAAAAGGAAGAUCACCUCCGGACAUAGCCCAUGCAAAACGUAACUUGCCAUAACACAGCCCUGAAAGGCACUACUACCAAAAUACCCUGGCAUGUUACAGCAUCCUCCCAACUUGCAUAAAAGCUGCUUUAUUGCUGAUCUCAGUUUACUUUAUUCGGAGGCAUAACUGAGCUGUGGGUUUUUUUAUGGGUUGUCUGACCUCCCCUGUAAGUGUUCUGGGCUAUCAUUAAGGCUGCGUAAGGCAAAGCUCUUUUCUUCUUCUCUUUUUGCAGGGCUUCUGUCUAGUCUUUUAUCAGCUGAUCUGCAGAAUGAUAUGCGGUCCCACUCCUAAAGCAAGCCAUGGAUAAGCAAAUGCUGCUUCUUCCCCUGGAGCCACCAGCAAUGAGCCAGGGGCUGGGGAGGGUGGACAGUAUUACCAUCAUUGCGCUGUCUCCCAAGACCCAACUGCCUUAGCUCCUCCAAACCUCCCCCUCUGCACCCCAAAAGCAACGCUGGGAAGAAAAGGAGCACGCAUACAGAAUCCACACGCAAACUUCAGAGCAUGAAGAAGGCUCUGGGUAA